GAUGAACGCUGGCGGCGUGCCUAAUACAUGCAAGUCGAGCGAACAGACGAGGAGCUUGCUCCUCUGACGUUAGCGGCGGACGGGUGAGUAACACGUGGAUAACCUACCUAUAAGACUGGGAUAACUUCGGGAAACCGGAGCUAAUACCGGAUAAUAUAUUGAACCGCAUGGUUCAAUAGUGAAAGACGGUUUUGCUGUCACUUAUAGAUGGAUCCGCGCCGCAUUAGCUAGUUGGUAAGGUAACGGCUUACCAAGGCAACGAUGCGUAGCCGACCUGAGAGGGGGAGCAGUCACACUGCGACUGGGACACGGUCCAGACGCCCACGGGAGGGAGCAGUGGGGAAUAUUGGACAAUGGGCGUAAGCCUGAUACAGCUAUGACGCGUGUGUGAAGAAGGUCUUCGGAUUGUAAAGCGCUUUAAGUUGGGAGGACGCGCAGUACGUUAAUACCUUGCUGUUUUGACGUUACCAAAAGAAUAAGCCCCGGCUAACUUCGUG
rnacentral:rRNA from 1 species